rnacentral:misc_RNA from 1 species
CAGAGAUCAUGCCCUCACGGGUAGACCUCCCACCCUGUUUAAAUACCAUUGUUGCUUUGGCAGGCCCGCCCUUGGGCACUCGGCUCCGGCUGAGCAGCGCCUGCCAGAGGACCCCAACCCUAAUGUUUACGUGUCGUCUGAGUACUAUAUAAUAAGUUA